UGCCCCACGAAAAUGCCCAGAAUCUUGUAAAUGUUUUAAUGUUAAUUAAACUUGUAAAUACACCUUUUUAAACUUGCAUUGUGUGAUUAUUAAUACGUCUAGUGAGCAACGAGAAAAUGGUGCUGUCUUCAGAAUCAAAACAUCCCCUUUUGAAACACCGACACAGCCCCUUUUGAAUGCGGCAAAACACCCCCUUUGGAAAAAAACAAAACAGCCCCAUUUGAAAGAGACAAAACAGCCCCUUUUCAAAACACCAAACAGCCCUUUUUGAAAGAGCCAAAACAGACCCACAUACGAGCUAAAUUGGACCUUUUUUGGGAGCUCUAAUUCUAAGAUUGAAAACAGCCCUUCGAAAGAACCAAAAUAGCCCCACAUAAUAGCCAAAAUAACCCUUUAUACUAAUAGUCCAAAUCGACUCUAUAUUAAAGGGGACAAAACAGCCCCAUUAAAAUGGGGCCGUCUCAGGGUCAAAAUUUCGGACCCAUUUUUGGGGCCAAAAUGGCCCGUCUGAAAUUACAGUGCAAGAUUCUUUGUCAGACAUAGUUUAUGUUUUUUGGCUGAUUUACAUGUUUCGCAAUCUUCCCAUAUCACCGAAAGGGCACGUCAUUUAAGUCCUUCAUUGAUGUAGGGAAGUUUCAAAUAAAUAUUUUUUCAUAUAGAUAUAAAGUUUGUUCGUUCACUGCAACCAGGUAUAUCAAUCAUGUUUCGCUCGCUACUCUGGUUUAAAUAAAUGAUUACAAAGCCCAGUCGAAUUG